CUCCCUCGGCGAGCGCAGCAGCAACAAAUAAAGGCUGAAUGGUUCAUCUGCCCUUGACUAAAAAUGGAAAUUCUUAUCAGCACCCCUUGGAAGGAGAGGCUGAUGAUGUGGAGCAUUUCCAUGCAGCUCUCAGCACUUGAGACCAGCAGCAGACUUCCAGGGGCAUCAGAAACGCGGAUGCACGCGGAGGGAACACUUGACAGCGCUCAAAAAUCCAUCCCUGGAGCUCCAGGAAGGGACACACGGGGGUGAAGGUGUCACUGAAAAGACUCCAAACCCCUCCUGGCCCUCGGGCUUGAGUGUGGAUCUCACCCAGGGGAACGUGGAGCUCGAGGGGAGCUGCCUUUAUCAGGGAGGUUAUUUUUCCCCCGUGGCUUUGUGGAUCCCAGCGCUGCAGCAAGGAGAACCCAGGGCAGGUGCUGCCUCCUCCUCCUCCUCCUCCUCCCCACCUGGAGGCCUGGAGGUGUUCCCUUCCCAACACCAGCCUGUUUUGGGGGCAUCCUCCAGCUCCCACGUAGAGGGAGGGUGGAUGGAUUGUGAUUUCUGGGGAGAACGAGAUGUUCUCGCUGCUCCUGGGCUCUGUUCAAGGCCUCCUCAGCCACGGCUGGACAAUUCCUGCACGUCCACCUCGCCUCCCGCUGCAACGUGCUCCUCUCAGCACUGGCCAGGCUAAAAAAGGAAAGUUCCUAUCGUGCCAAAAAACACAACUUUGAUAAAUAUGAGAGGAAAGUCACAAUAAGAGUGACCGGGAUCCAAAGGCAAUAAUGUGGGAAGGACAGUUUUAUUUUCUUGCCUCACCGAAGCCUUGGGUAAAACAGAGUGAAUUCCUAAAUGAAUUUAUUUAGUAAAUACCUGAGCAGAGCAAAACAGAGUUUCUGCUCUAGCACAAAGAAUCCAGUGAGGGGACUGAAAGCCUAAAAGGUGGUGAUUUCAUCCCAAAUUGCAUGAUUUAAGAGUUUAGGAUGAGUUGGGAUCUGUGGUUUGACAGCUCUCAUUUGGAAAGCCAGGUCACAUUUUAAAAAAUCUGAUCUCAGGUUGGUAAAGCUCUCACGGGGCAGUGAGGAGGGUUAGGGGGUGAAAAAUGUAUUUUUGAAGGUUUCCAAGCCUGCAGGACAGGGCUGGAAAGGAUCUUUGGUCUCGGUGGUAGACAGAGAUGAUAAACCCCCACCGUGAGUUUGCUGUGCCCCAGGAACAGGAGAAAUUCUCUGCUGCUCCCAGCCCAAAGAAGCUUCAUGGCCUGGGGAAAUGGGAAAUGCAGGCUGGGCAGCAGUCACAGUGUUUGUGAUGUGCAGAGAACCCAGAGCAGGCUCUGGGCAGAGCAGAGAGGACAGGGAUGGAAAAUGUGCAGUUUCACACGGGCACUUCGCAAUUCUCCGUCUCUGCAAAAAACUCAAUUUAAAAAAAAAAUAAUCAAUCCUCAUUCUCUUCCAUCUCACAAGGAGCUUCCAGCCCACCUGAGCUCCACUGGGAAGUCUCUUUUUUCCCAGAUGACCUCUGCAAACCCUGCAGAUGUUAAUAAUGUGUGGAACAUCUCCAGAGGAGCUAAAGAUCCUCACAGCCUAUCUGAGCGGAAGCGGAGGAAUGCGCAGUUUAUUUUAAAUAACGUGCACUUGUCCCAAUGCUGGAGCUUUCUGAGCCUCAGCCAGGACUCUGCACGUCAGCACAGUCUGCUCUGAAGGAAUUAUUGGCCUCUUCACACUUUUGAUCUUUGCAGAAAGGAGCGUGUGGCAUUUCCAGCCCAGAUGUUGACGAUGCUGCUCCUGGACCCCACCCAGAAGUUUCUCCCUGGUGGCUCCUGGAUGGGUGAGGAGCUCCUUGCAGAGGUAAAACAUGAAAUGAACACAGCAAGGAGGAGCUGUGUGGGCUCUGGGCAUUCUGUGCACAGGAAAAUCCCCGGAGUCAGGGGCUGGAGGUCACACAAGUCACUCGGGGGUUGGAUUUUUGAAUUCAGCUCGGCUUCUUCCCCAGGCUUUAUAUCCACAGCUAGGCUGGGUUCAAUGCACCAAACUGAACCUGAGGCUGAGUCUGGGCUCAGUUUUAGGGUUAAACCAGUCCCAGCAAGGCUGAGAGCAGCAGGUGUUUAUACCCAACGCUGACUUUUAUUCUCCAAUAUCGUUUUCCCACUCCCAUCUCCUCCUGUUCCCCCCAUUUCCCUCUGUGUCCCUUUCUCCUCCCGGUUUGUUUUUCCUGUCUCACAGCUCUGCAGCCUGGCUGGAGAUGAAUUCUGCCUCACCAAAGCCAAAUCCUCAGCAGCCAGAACCCAGAGGGGUGAUCCAGCUUGAAAAGUGCAGAUCUCUCUGGUUCUCCCUCUCCUGCCCUCAGCCAGGCUCUAGGCUGGGCUGUUCCCCCUCCCCAAAUAAAUAAAUGAAAGGUUUUCUGUCUUUUCUGGAGAAAAGAACGGUUUUGGAGUCCUGUUGCUCUUCUUUCCUCCACCAAAAGCUGUGGCAGGGCUGGAAGGAGCCAGGCAGGGGUGAGGGACGAGCAGAAAGGUGACAAAAAAAACCACGGGGACACCUUUGGGUCUUUGAUGGGGAGAGGCCAAACGUCCUCACUGGGCUGCAAAUCCAGGGUUCCACAAGCUGGCUGAGAAAAUCCUGUUCUGCUCUUCAGAAAGGACAAAACCAGCAGUAAAUAAGUGCAGGUUUGUCAUCCUUUGGAGGCUGCCCAUCAGGGAAAAAUCAGAAUUCCUGUGCUGGAGUCGCUGCAGGUUCAGGUGUGGGGAAAUGCUCCCCAAGCUCUGUCAGCUGUGCUGGGUUUAGCAGCACCUGGCUGUGGGAAGAGUGAAAACUGUGAGAACAGAGCUGAAAACCCCCGAGCUGCAGAGGUUUGGUGACAGUGGGGUUUGCUGUGGGUGGCUGGCACAGCACAGCAGAUCUCAGAGCCCUGGGGAUUGAUGUGAGCACCUCCAGCACCCAGGGCUGGGCUCGCUCAGCGCCUCUGCCUGCCCAGAUCCAGCAGCCAGGGAGGUUUUUCCAGGCAGCUGGAGGAGAGACACUUCUGGUUUCUUUCUGUCAAGGCACAAUGUCCAUACCCCAGACCUGUGAGUGCAAUUCUGCCUGAGCAGCAGGAAGUGUUGGCCUCUUCUCCAGCCAACCUGAGCAGCUGAAAGAAGACUUGAAAUAAACACACCCCAAAAAAAAAAAAAAA